rnacentral:rRNA from 1 species
UGGGGAAUAUUGCACAAUGGGGGAAACCCUGAUGCAGCAACGCCGCGUGAGUGACGAAGGCCUUCGGGUCGUAAAGCUCUGUCUUCGGGGACGAUAAUGGCGGUACCCGAGGAGGAAGCCACGGCUAACUACGUGCCAGCAGCCGCGGUAAUACGUAGGUGGCGAGCGUUGUCCGGAAUUACUGGGCGUAAAGGGUGCGUAGGCGGGAUAAAAAGUCAGUGGUGAAAUCCUACAGCUUAACUGUAGAACUGCCUUUGAUACUUUUAUUCUUGAGUUCGGGAGAGAGAGACGGAAUUCCAGGUGUAGUGGUGAAAUACGUAGAUAUCUGGAACAACACCAGUUGCGAAGGCGGUCUCUUGGUCCGACACUGACGCUGAGGCGCGAAAGCGUGGGGAGCAAACA